CAUCCUUGAUCGGGAGGUCCGGGUAAUCUUUUGAAACUUCAUCGUGCUGGGGAUAGUCCCUUGCAAUUUUUGGACUUAAACGAGGAAUUCCUAGUAAGCGUGAGUCAUCAACUCGCGUUGAUUACGUCCCUGCCCUUUGUACACACCGCCCGUCGCUACUACCGAUUGAAUGGCUUAGUGAAUCCUUCGGAUUGGCUAUUUUUUUCUGGCAACAGAAUUAAACUGCUAAAAAGUUGGGCAAACUUGGUCAUUUAGAGGAAGUAAAAGUCGUAACAAGGUUUCCGUAGGUGAACCUGCGGAAGGAUCAUUAAAAAAUAAUCACUGUAUUGUGAUUUUAAUAAUCAUCCUACCCUUUGUGAAUUUGUUUUGUUUGAAAAUUUAUGUUGUCUAUCCCUGGUGGUUUUGGAAAAGUUGAAAAACUUUUUCGAAUCCCAGGGACUAGGCUUUCAUAGACCUUUUUUUAAAUUAAACUUUUUGUAUUCAUUUGUCUAAAAUUUAUUUUUAAUAAUUUAAAAACAACUUUUGACAAUGGAUCUCUUGGUUCUCGCAACGAUGAAGAACGCAGCAAAAUGCGAUAAGUAAUGUGAAUUGCAGAAUACGUGAAUCAUCAAAUCUUCGAACGCAUAUUGCAC
rnacentral:rRNA from 1 species